UACGAGGGGGGCAAGCGUUGUUCGGAAUUAUUGGGCGUAAAGGGUGCGUAGGUGGCGCCGUAAGUCAGGUGUGAAAUCCCGGGGCUCAACCCCGGAACUGCACUUGAUACUGCGGUGCUCGAGUACUGGAGAGGAGAUUGGAAUUUACGGUGUAGCAGUGAAAUGCGUAGAUAUCGUAAGGAAGACCAGUGGCGAAGGCGAAUCUCUGGACAGUUACUGACACUGAGGCACGAAGGCCAGGGGAGCAAACGGG
rnacentral:rRNA from 1 species